rnacentral:rRNA from 1 species
ACUAUAAGUCCUGAGGUAGCGAAAUUCCUUGUCGGGUAAGUUCCGACCCGCACGAAAGGCGUAACGAUUUGGGCACUGUCUCAACAACAGACUCGGUGAAAUUGUAAUUCCGGUGAAGAUGCCGGAUACCGGCGACAGGACGGAAAGACCCCAUGGAGCUUUACUGUAGCUUGACAUUGGGUCUUGGUACUACAUGUACAGGAUAGGUGGGAGGCUUUGAAACCAGGACGCCAGUUUUGGCGGAGCCAUCCUUGGGAUACCACCCUUGUAGUACUGGGACUCUAACCAUAGGCCAUG